rnacentral:lncRNA from 9 species
AGGCUUGCUAAGGGCAACUCAGGAGCUACUUUGGAAAGACACCCUGGCUUUCUGGGACAUUCCUGGUGUUCUGUUGGUUGAUUCUGUGGUAUAUUCAACAGGGUUUUAAUGAUCAGAUGAUAUGAAAAUGACUGGUUGAAAGUGAAAAAAAGCACUUCAUUUAAAUAUUUAUUGUAUCUCUAUGGAAUAAGCUUGCAUCCCAAAUUGCUUGGGAGAUUGGCUGAAUUUCAAAUUUCCUGUCACUCUGACUUUCAAAAUGGGUGUCAUGGAAGUACUUUCUCCUCUAUUCCAUGUUAUUGCCUGUGGCACUUGGCACUUACAGAUUCACACUCUGUAACCCUCCCUCCCGAGAAAUGAGAAUUUAAGACACCCUCCAUAAUGGACUGUUGUCGCUUCACCAUCUCAGCUUCCAUUUGGUCUUUGGUCCCUGAGCACUUCCUUUGCAAUAACCUUAAUUUCAUCAACUGCUCAUUAUAAAUCUACGCAAUUUUCUUGACUCUGUGAACCGGAAUGGGAAAGGCUCUUGAAAUCCUGUUCUACGAGAGACCAGUUGAAGGAAUUGGUGAAGGCAAACAAAAGUUGAACGUCCCGUGCUCAGAUCUAUGUGGUUUUGCCUGUGCUUUUCUCUGUGCUGCGAGAUUAAGAGCUCCUUGAGACAGGGAUGGUGUAAGUGUUUAUUAAGCGUCGGUGGAAUUAAAUGUCAAGUCAAAAACAGUGCAGGGUAUUUUUAAAGGCUUGUUCUGUGGAGGAUACCUAAGCCGCCAAGGAUUUUAUGUUCCUUCUUAAUUAUGAAGUGCAGAUGCCUCCCUUGAAGGCAGAAUCUUCACUGGAAAUUAUUGCUGAUAUAAAGUCAGGCCAAGAGCAAUCUAGAGGUAGAAGGACACAUAUCCUUUUGGUUCCAGCUUCAAUGCCGCUCAGUGUUUUUUUUUGUGAAAGUAAAGGAAAUCUGGGCAUGUUCCCUUGGUGGCACUUUCUAUAUCUGUUAUCUGGUUUAAGUAAGGAAUAUAAAUGUGAUCCCCAGCUCAACUGGAGACAAGCCCCACAACUGGGUUAUAGCUCUUCAGGAAAGACUUUUUUUUUCUUUAUAGGGCCGUGCCGGUGGCAUUGGGAGAUUCCCAGAGCCAGGGGUCCAAUCCAAUCUGUAGCCACCAGCCUACACCAGAGCCACAGCAACUCGGGAUCCAAGCCUUGUCUGCGACCUACACCACAGCUCACGGCAACGCUGGAUCCUUAAACCCCUGAGCAAGGCCAGGGAUCGAACCCGCAACCUCAUGGUUCCUAGUGGGAUUCGUUAACCACUGUGCCACCACGGGAACUCCCUGAAGAUUUCUUUAUUGUCAACUAUUUUCAGACCAACUCCAGGCUGAAACAGACAAACUUUUCAUUUGCUCACAUAAGAGUGGAUUUUUUUUUUUUUUCUCUCUCUUUUAGGCAAUUGGACACAUAGGGUGUAGCCUAUUAGAACUAGGGUUUGGAAUUUCUGUGUGUGUGAAGUUCAUUAAAAUUAUAUUUUGUGUUUUCCAAUAGUUGACUCAGCUCUCUUACCCAGUUCAGAUUUUAGUUGAAUUCCUGUGAGUCUCCCUGUAGAAGACUUUUGUUUCACAGCCUCUGGGAAUUCCAUGCAGUUGCAGAAUAUGAGAUUUAGAGGCUGAAACUAACCUGGUAGAAAUUCAAAUCUAUCUUUUAUCUUUUAGAUAAAAGCCUUUGAAAUCCUUUUAGUGUGAAGUUAUCAGCAGGCUGGAUUCUCAUAUAACCUCAUUACCAACCCAAGGAUUAUUCAAAAUGUUCAGAGAGCAAGACUCUGUGGCUGAAACUCAGUUUUUUUUGUUUUUUGUUUUUUUUUUUUUUUAAUCAAUUCCACUGUCCAGUGAUAAGCCACAUGUGGUUCACCUAGUUCUACUCAGGAAAUUCUGCCUGCUUGCCCCCGCCCCCCUUGGAGAUCACAAUGCAAAUUCAAGGCUCCUAAGUUAUGCACUAAAGAAACCUGUUCAACUUUAUUGAGCAUUUCCAAAACGUAUUUAACCACAGAACCUUUUUUGACAUUACAUUUUAUAACUCACCUAGAGUUUUUGUGAGGUAAGAAUGAGUACAUUCAAGGGAUUGAUGCUUCAGAUCUGAGGUCUCCACUGCUGGAAGUAAUGAGAUGUUCUCAACUCUAUCUUUGUUUUAUGGAAUGGACUUGGUGAAGGGUAAGAAAUAUUCUUAUUCAGCUUCAUUACUGAUGGCAAGAAUUGGCUUAUUAGAUGCUGGGCUUUGGUGUAGUUUCCUGGAAAAAAAAAAAAAAGAAAAAAAAAAA